UUAAGGGCUCAGUCCCACAAUAUGAUUCUCAUUUCAGAUGGCAGUUGCAAGUCCCCGGUUGUCACCUGCACUUCUGACCAGCUGGCUCUAAAGUGGGGGCUCCCACAACCCCCUGCUCAGGUUUGAGAAGCGACCAGUCCUUGCCCUGAAGCUAUCCAGCAGUCCACCAGGAGCCUUCUCAUCAGAACAGAAGACAUUCCUAUCACCCAGGAAAUUCCAAGGGAUUUAGAAGCUCUGUGUCAGGAACCAGGGGCAGACACCGACUCUAGGAAUGCUUUUGGACUCACAUGGACACAGCAGCAAAAUCUUGGAGAAGGCUGGUCUGUCUCGGGUGGAAUGGCCGAGCAGGGUGGGAAGAACCUCUUUGCCUGAAGAGACAGCAAGCCAGAAGUGCCCGAGUCCCAGUGGGAGGCUCUGGUCAGUGCCAGUGGAGAGAGAUGCCUGGGAUGUCUGUGGACAGGCAAAGCACACAGCGGUUCAAAUGUGAGCUCCAAAUUGGGAGCCACCAGGACGGAUGCCUCAAACCGCAGAGGCAUAACUGCAGUCAAACUGCUUUUCAUCUAGACCACUCCAUUCAGCAUAGAGUAGUAGCAGGGAAUUAUUUAUUUCACAAUGGUUAAUCAUAUUUUGAACAAUGUUUGAGAGAAACCUAGUUUCAGAUUCAGGAACAGAGCCUCACGGGGAAUUUUGCUGCCUGGUCUAGUUUUACGUGUCAGUUGUAAAAUGAGAUGAGUGAAAAGGCCUAGGAGUUUUUAAGCUUUUUUUUUAUUCUAAAUUUUUAUAUUUUUGAUAAGGAAAGAAAAUAUGAAUCAUUUCGUGAUGUGCAUGUAAAAUGGCAAUGAUAUGUGGCGUCACAAGAUGGCAGUAUCACAUUUAUUACAAUAUAAGGUGCCCUAGACUGCUAGGUGCAGUAAAUACAGAAUAAUGAUUUCAGAGGGCUCAUAAGGAAUAAAAAUUGCCUUUGAUUUUUUUUUGUUUACAGCCCAUGUUUAUUUCGAUUUUUAUCCUAGUUGCAUAUAGUUUAUUUCAAUCUUCUCAUCAAUGACACUAAAAAUUUGUUUCCUAUUUUCUACUAAUUUGUAUAAAACAUGGGCAAAAUGCAUAAACACUGCUGUAUAAACAAAUUUGAGUGAGGCGAGGAGGCAGGCAGUA